rnacentral:rRNA from 1 species
UACGAAGGGGCUAGCGUUGUUCGGAAUUACUGGGCGUAAAGCGUGCGCAGGCGGUUAUGUAAGCAGAUGUGAAAUGCCCGGGCUUAACCUGGGAACUGCAUUGUGACUGCAUGGCUAGAGUUUGGCAGAGGGGGGUAGAAUUCCACGUGUAGCAGUGAAAUGCGUAGAUAUGUGGAGGAACACCGAUGGCGAAGGCAGCCCCCUGGGUCAAGACUGACGCUCAUGCACGAAGCG